rnacentral:rRNA from 1 species
CUAUACUGUGAAACUGCGAAUGGCUCAUUAAAUCAGUUAUCGUUUAUUUGAUAGUACCUUACUACUUGGAUAACCGUGGUAAUUCUAGAGCUAAUACAUGCUAAAAACCCCGACUUCGGGAGGGGUGUAUUUAUUAGACAAAAAACCAAUGCCCUUCGGGGCUCCUUGGUGAAUCAUGAUAACUUAACGAAUCGCAUGGCCUUGCGCCGGCGAUGGUUCAUUCAAAUUUCUGCCCUAUCAACUUUCGAUGGUAGGAUAGUGGCCUACCAUGGUAUCAACGGGUAACGGGGAAUUAGGGUUCUAUUCCGGAGAGGGAGCCUGAGAAACGGCUACCACAUCCAAGGAAGGCAGCAGGCGCGCAAAUUACCCAAUCCCGACACGGGGAGGUAGUGACAAUAAAUACUGAUACAGGGCUCUUUUGGGUCUUGUAAUUGGAAUGAGUACAAUUUAAAUACCUUAACGAGGAACAAUUGGAGGGCAAGUCUGGUGCCAGCAGCCGCGGUAAUUCCAGCUCCAAUAGCGUAUAUUAAAGUUGUUGCAGUUAAAAAGCUCGUAGUUGAACCUUGGGCCUGGCUGGCCGGUCCGCCUCACCGCGUGCACUGGUCCGGCCGGGCCUUUCCUUCUGGGGAUCCCCAUGCCCUUCACUGGGUGUGGCGGGGAACCAGGACUUUUACUUUGAAAAAAUUAGAGUGUUCAAAGCAGGCCUUUGCUCGAAUACAUUAGCAUGGAAUAAUAGAAUAGGACGUGCGGUCCUAUUUUGUUGGUUUCUAGGACCGCCGUAAUGAUUAAUAGGGAUAGUCGGGGGCAUCAGUAUUCAAUUGUCAGAGGUGAAAUUCUUGGAUUUAUUGAAGACUAACUACUGCGAAAGCAUUUGCCAAGGAUGUUUUCAUUAAUCAGUGAACGAAAGUUAGGGGAUCGAAGACGAUCAGAUACCGUCGUAGUCUUAACCGUAAACUAUGCCGACUAGGGAUCGGGCGAUGUUAUUAUUUUGACUCGCUCGGCACCUUACGAGAAAUCAAAGUCU